UCUCAGUGAUGUCAAAGAUUGAUGACGAGUCUGAAGAAUAUCCAUUCUCUAUAAAUCCUGAUGUGAAUGAGGCAUUUGUCUGAGAGAA